GACGUAGGGCGCGAGCGUUGUCCGGAUUUAUUGGGCGUAAAGAGCUCGUAGGCGGCUUGUUGCGUCGACCGUGAAAACCCGGGGCUCAACUUCGGGCUUGCGGUCGAUACGGGCGGGCUAGAGUUCGGUAGGGGAGACAGGAAUUCCUGGUGUAGCGGUGAAAUGCGCAGAUAUCAGGAGGAACACCGGUGGCGAAGGCGGGUCUCUGGGCCGAUACUGACGCUGAGGAGCGAAAGCGUGGGGAGCGAACAGG
rnacentral:rRNA from 1 species